rnacentral:rRNA from 1 species
UGGGGAAUCUUCCGCAAUGGACGAAAGUCUGACGGAGCAACGCCGCGUGAACGAUGACGGCCUUCGGGUUGUAAAGUUCUGUUAUACGGGACGAAUGGUACGACGGCCAAUACCCGUCGUAAGUGACGGUACCGUAAGAGAAAGCCACGGCUAACUACGUGCCAGCAGCCGCGGUAAUACGUAGGUGGCAAGCGUUGUCCGGAAUUAUUGGGCGUAAAGGGCGCGCAGGCGGCGUCGUAAGUCGGUCUUAAAAGUGCGGGGCUUAACCCCGUGAGGGGACCGAAACUGCGAUGCUAGAGUAUCGGAGAGGAAAGCGGAAUUCCUAGUGUAGCGGUGAAAUGCGUAGAUAUUAGGAGGAACACCAGUGGCGAAAGCGGCUUUCUGGACGACAACUGACGCUGAGGCGCGAAAGCCAGGGGAGCAAACAGGAUUAGAUACCCUGGUAGUCCACGCCGUAAACGAUGAAUGCCAGUCGUCGGGUUGCAUGCAAUUCGGUGACACACCUAACGGAUUAAGCAUUCCGCCUGGGGAGUACGGUCGCAAGAUUA